AACGAACGCUGGCGGCGUGCCUAAUACAUGCAAGUAGAACGCAGUUGCGAACGGGUGAGUAACGCGUAGGUAACUGCCUCAUAGCGGGGGAUAAUUAUUGGAAACGAUAGCUAAUACCGCAUACUGUGAGAUGGACCUGCGUGGUAUUAGCUAGUUGGUGAGGUAAAGGCUCACCAAGGCGACGAUACAUAGUCGCCCUGAGAGGGUGACCCGCCAAAAUGAGACUGGGCCACGGCUCAGACUUACACGGGAAGACGCAGGUGGGGAUCGUCGGCAAUGGGCGGAAGUCUGACCGAGCAACGCCGCGUGAGUGAAGAAAGUUUUCGGAUCGUAAAACUCUGUUGUUGGAGAAGCGGUAACUACCCAGAAAUGACCGGCUAACUACGUGCCAGCAGCCGCGGUAAUAC
rnacentral:rRNA from 1 species